UUGCUCCCAUUUGAAACACGAUUCACGAACUGAACACCCACCCCGUCUGUCGCCCAAGCUUCGACUACCCAAUGUUCUUCCGCCGCUUCUGGCGUUUGAAUUGACGAUUUCUUCUCGAAUCUCACAGAAGCUUGGAGAGAGGGAGGGAGAGGAGUGUAGGUUUGGAAGAUGAAGACCACGCAACUGUUCAAGGGUUCGAAUGUGUUCAUGUCGCGCAAUCUUGUUCCGCCGGAGGUUUUCGAUGCACUUCUUGACGCUCUCAAGCUUAAUGGCGCCGAUAUUUUCCUCUGUUGCGACCCUUCCCGCAACGGCCCUGACGAUUUUCACGUCAUCGCGUCUCCUAAUCAUGAGAAAUUCGAGGAUCUUAGAGUCAAGGGAUGUAAUUUGAUAGGUCCCCAAUGUGUACUGUCCUGUGCAAAAGAGAACAGGCCGCUGCCAAAAGGGGGAUUCACUUGUUGCCUAGCGAUGGAUGGUUUAAAAGUUCUUGCUUCCGGUUUUCAGAUGGAUGAGAAGGUCAAGAUUGGCAAGUUGGUUACAGCCAUGGGGGGAGUAUUGCUUGGCAAAGCAUCUUCAGAUGUCAAUUUCGUAGUUGUGAAGAAUGUCUUGGCUGCCAAGUACAAGUGGGCUCUGAAUAUUCAGAAGAAACCAGUUGUUACACUAAAUUGGUUACAUCAGUGUUGGAACGAGCACCGUGUUGUUCCCCAGGAACCAUACAAAGUUCUUCCUUUUUCUGGGUUGACAAUUUGUGUUACAAGAAUUCCAGCAGAUGAGCGUAAGGAGAUUGAGAAGCUCAUUUCACAAAACGGAGGGAAGUAUUCUGCUGAAUUGACCAAGAACUGUACACAUUUGAUUGCUGAUAUCGCUGAAGGUGACAAAUAUAGAGUUGCCCGGAAAUGGGGCCACAUUCAUAUUGUAACUCGGAAAUGGUUUGAUCAGUCCAUUGCUAGAAAAGUGUGUCUCAGUGAGGAGUCAUAUCCAGUUAAUAAUGGUUUCGCAUCCUCGACUAAACGAACAAGAGCCUUAGCGAGCCAGAAUGGUCAAGAAAAGGUGUUGGGCAAUGCAGUACCAGUGUCUUCGGCUGCUGCAGAAUCUGAUGUACCAGCUGGUUCUCAGUCUAGAGAAUCAGAUUUAGAAGCUUCUGUCUCACAGAAUGUUUGUUCCUCAUCUAUGAAUCCCACGGCCUUUGUUAAAGGAGAUAGUGCUGACCCAACUACAGAGCCUCAAGAGAACAAUGUCGAUGGUUGUGUUGCCGAAGACUCAGAGUCUGAAGACAAUGACCUGUACUUGUCAGAGUGUAGAAUAUUCUUUAUUGGUUUUGGAGCUUCGGAAAUGCGCCGACUUGUUAACAUGGUACGCAGAGGUGGGGGGUCGCGGUAUAUUCAGCUUCAUGAUAAACUGACACACAUUGUUGUUGGAACUCCUUCAGAGGGUGAGAAAAGGCAAGCGAGAAGAGUAGCAGCUUCAGGCAUCAUUCAAGUGGUGACAACCGGUUGGCUUGAGGAUUGUGACCGAGGGAGAAAAGAAAUUCCUGUCCAUAAAAAGUACACUGCUCACAACUUGAUUCUUCCAAGAGAUUCUACAUGCUCAAUCAAGGGAUCUCUUGCAGGGAUACCCGAUAUGGAUGAGAGUAAAACCUCUCUUCGUCGAACCAUGCCAUAUGAUACCUCUGCAAGGAGUAUCAGUGAUUCGACUGGUGCAGCAAUGUUAUUUGGGAAGAAUGUAGAAGACAGGGUAGAAUUUGGUAGGAAAGAAGAGAUCCAUGUGGAAGACAGGGUAGAACUUGGUAGGAAAGAACAGGGUCAUGUUGAAGACAGGGUAGAAUUUGGUAGGAAAGAAGAGAUCGAUGUGGAAGACAGGGUAGAACUUGGUAGGAGAGAACAGAGCCAUGUUGAAGACAGGGUAGAAUUUGGUAGGAAAGAAGAGAUCCAUGUGGAAGUCAGGGUAGAAUCUAGUAGGAAAGAAGAGAUCCAUGUAGAAGGCAGGGUAGAAUCUGGUAGGAAAGAAAAGAUCCAUGUAGAAGCUAAUAUGGGGUCACCCAAGCAAAAGGAGUCAUUUCCUUCUCUUGAAAAUAGAAAAAGUAUGGAACAGAGAACACAUCGCGACUCCAAUGAUCAGAACAAGCAAGGCACAACAUUAUUUGUAUUUAGAGGGAAAUCAUUUUGUUUCUCACAUUCUUUUCCUGAAGACAGGAGGGCUGAAAUCGUGGAAUGGGUCAAUGUAGGAGGGGGAGAAGUGGUAAAUGAUCCUUUUAAACACACUGUUGAUUUUACUGUUGAAUGUCAUGGAGUGAUCCCUAGGACCGCUUGGACCACCCAAACUACUUAUGUCUCGAGUCAUUGGGUCAGAUCUUGUUUAGAGGUUGGCUGUUUACUUGAUGUUGGUAGUCACAUCCUCUAUUCCCCUCUACCCUGCCAGACUCCUUUGUCUGGAUUCCAAAGUUUUCGUAUUUGUGUUUCUCAAUAUGAGGAGAAAGAUAGAUUGCUCCUGAGAAAUCUAUGCUUUGUUCUUGGGGCAAAAUUUGUCGAAAAACUGACCAGGAAAGUCACUCACUUGCUAUGCAAAUUCGCUGAUGGGCCAAAGUAUGAGGCAGCUUGCAAGUGGGGGAUAGUUUCAGUAACAUCAGACUGGGUUUAUGAAUGUGUUAGACAGAAUCAAGUUGUUGGUUCAGAUAAUUUCCAUCCAAAGCAAAUGACCACUCAAGACCGAGAAGCCGGGUGUUGCUUGGCAAGUCAAUUUCCUACACAGUUUGUACCAAUGACCUCGAGGGCUAAUGGGUCGUUGUUUGUAAGUAAAUCUGAAGAGAGGAAAGAUGCUAAUGGCUGCAUUGAAGGUGAAUUAAACAACAGACAUGGAGAUAUUGGAAGGCAGUUGAAUAAAAAGGCAAGGCUGUCGAAAGACGGUCAAGAAGGUCAUGUGCUUCCUAUGGGAGAACACCCGAGCAAUAAUGGUUAUGCUUUGAAUUCUGGAGAGGACAAUGAGUCUGUUAAUGAUGUAGAAAGUGGUCGUGUAGUUCCAGAUGUGGCUGCUGCUAUCGAGGACCUGUUAGAGCAGACAAGUAAAAUACAAGAUCAGAAUUCUCCUGUGAGGAUUUCAGAUAAAACUCUUUUUCCAUCUAAUUCUUUGGCUGUUGAACAAUCCAACACCGGGAUUCAUGCUGUCACCGGUCUUUCAAGGCACUGGUUAAACAGGGUUCCAAAGCAUGAUGAAGUCCUCAGUCCUUCGGGAGGUGUGACUUCAGGCACUUACGGAAAUUUUAGUGAGACGCAAACAGAAUCUCAGGUUGUUGGGUACGAGGAAGAUCUUUCGGGGAGGCAGAUGCUUAUCGAUAGAGUUAGAACCCGAAGUAGCUUAGCUUAGCUUAGGUUGAAGGCCAUCGAUGAUUUGGCUUAAUUCCAUGUCCUUAAUGCUCGAAGCCAUGAAACCAUCUUUUAUAUAGACAACAACAACAGCAGGUGCAGCCUUGCAGGGCAGAAGAUUUGCUGAGGAGAUCCAUCAAAAUGAUAGACAGUACAGUUCCUGUAAUGUACGAGGCUGCCCUGUCCAUUGCUGUGAGGUCCCUUCUCUUCAAUUUUGUUGUGUUUCAGAUAUACUCUAAUCCGUUUGUCUAAGACAGUUGUUGUAAUCCACAUUUAACUGUUUUGUUCUGAUCCUAAUAUAUAUUUAAUUUAUUUAUUA